AGUACAAGUUCCUUCCAUUUCUUUCCCUAUUUGUUCCAUGUUUCAUCUGAUGCCAUUAUUUAUUCUGAAGUGGUAUUCUUCCCUCCAUGUCUGACUGUCAUGUCUCCACCAAUUUCUGCAAAUAUACAAAAAUACUUUGAUCAUUUUAAGAUGGAAAAAUAUUCCUCCUCAACUCAUCUAUGUUUCCCCCCUUAACUGAACAGAUUAAAGUCAGAAUCCGAUUAUUCAUAAUUAAUCUCUGGGCAUAACAAUGUUUUUAUUUCAGCUUCAAAGGAGUGAUUUCACAAGAUUUUUUUUCUGUGUCUUUUAUUUUUCAUAGCUAAUAUGCUGCCCCAAUUCUACAGACAGUGGUGAAACACAAGGGUUUUCUAAAUUUUUAUAUAUUAGCAAAAAAUUGCAGUGAACACAAAAGACAGUUGUUGCCUUCACACAAUAUAAAUGCAAAGACCAAUACCCACCAUAUUAUAGCAAACUUACAUAAUUGUGUAUGUGUGCACACACAACCCACACACAAUUUCCACGAACCUGCACAGUGGCUGGAACAGCUUCUGCAGUGCUACUAACAAGAAAGACACUUAUGGCCUACGGAAGAUAAACAAAGUCUCAUUAUUCACAUCCAUUUUUCAGCCAAACAUAUAACUAUCUAAAACUCAAGUGGAAGCAGUUUUUACCUCUCAGCGAGGAUUUGGCAAGUCUUUGGGUUCUUUGCAUUUCAUCACUUUAAUUUUCUAAUUCUUGCUUUAGUUUCAAGAGCUACCAAAACAUUUUUUCUGCUAUAUACUCUGCUGUUGUUUCCUAAAAUUCUAAUGCUGAACUUUGAAGGCAAGACAGAGCAGUAGCAUAUUUGACUCUUACUCUGAAAUGCAGCAGAAACACUUUGCAAGCCCAGAAACCACAAGGUGGUAACAUAUGUGUGUAGCUAAAAAUGCUAAUACAAACACAGUUCCCCUGUACUAGUGAAGCCACACCUCAAGUCCUGUCUUCAGUUCUGGGCCCUUCAUGACACGAAAGACAUUGAAGGGCUGGAGCAAGUAGAAUGGAAAUGGAGCUGGUGAAGAGUCUGGAGCACAAAUCCUGUGAGGAGCAGUUGAGGUUGCUGGAGGUGUGCAGCCUGGAGAAAGGGAAGCUCAGCUUUCUACAGCUGCCUGAGAAUAGGCUGUAGCAAGGUGGGGUGGUCAGUCUUUUCUCCCAGUUUCUCCCAGUUAAAAAGUGACAGGACAGGAGAAAAUUGCCUCAAGUUGUGCCAGGUGAGGUUUAGACUGGAUAUUAGGAAUUUUUUUUUUCACUGAGAGGGUGGUCAGGCAUUGUAACAGGCUUCCCAGGAAAGUGGUUGAGUGACCAUUUUUGGAGGUAUUUAGAAGAUGUGUGGAUGCAGCAGCUGGGAUAGGGUUUAGUGGUGAACAUGGUGGUGCUGCAUUAAGCUGGAUCAGAUGUUAUGUGGGGAGGUGAUGAUAGCACCACAUAGAGAAUGAAAGUGGAUGUAAGUGGCUGGAUCACAGAGAAUGCUGAAAGUCAAGCAAGGGUAUUUGAACUUGUGUGGCUUAAAUCAGCAAACUGGUCGAGAAAUUAAAGGAAUUAACUGAAUUCUUCAGAAGUAUAUGUUUGCACUGAGUAGAUUGGAGAUGGAGAUGAAGGGUGAAGAAAAGGAAAAACAUAUUGUGAUCAUCCACAAAGCAAUGCUACAAGUUGUGGUAAAGCAUUACAUAACAAUAAAAGAAAACAUUGAGACUGGAAUGCCCAUUCCUUUCCUCUAAGAGGUGAGGCCAAACAUUUCAAUUGCCUUUCACGCAACAAAAUAGAAGGGGAAGAACAGCUGUUAAAUCUAAACUUACAUGUGCCAUUUCAUCUUCCAUUCAGAACACUUCAUCUAAAGAGUUUGCUUUCCUGAUGGUGGGGUAUACUCUUCCAUUUUUCCUAUGGCUGAGCUCCCAGACUUCUUUUGGCAGUCAGUUACUAUAGAGACAAAUUAAGAAAUAUAUACAUGGACCAUGUCACAGUACUAGAGAACACCUGGUGGCAACAGCAGAACAAAGGAAGGAUAGAGCUGCUGCUCCUCCCAGCAGAGACAUAUAUACAUGGUUAUCGCAGGUACUCCAAAACAAGAACGUCUUUUAUCAAUCUGCAUUUUCCAAUGGGACUAAAUGCAGCCACAGUGGUGAAGUGGGAGGCUGUGCAGUGGUACAGCCUUUUAAGGUGGAUAUCAGUCUAUAUUGGGGGAGGAGUCUAGUGAUGCACAAGUACUGCCUAGUAGCACAAGAACAUGCACUAUACUACUCAGUGCUAUUAAGGGGGCUAGAGUUAGGUUUGCAGUCCCCUUAAAGCCAUAGCUUGGCUGAUUAUUUAUCUCAUGACAUCUGCUCUGACCUGUAAGGUCUUAACAAGCAGUUGGCUGUGAUCCUAUAGCCCUAUCAGUAAAUCUGCCCUCUCAUCCACUAUUCAGUUUUUUCCCUGUUAUUAACUAACGCGCUCUCAGGACAACUACUUCUUUGCCUCUCAUUUUCAUGCUCUGAGGACACUCUCCUUCCUCUUGGUAUACAAAUACUGAAGAAGUUUAGAAACAGGCAAGUAUGUAAUGGCUACAUGCACAGUGAUCCACCAUGGGGAAGUCACAGGCACACAAAACAAUCAUUUGGACCUGAAGCCUGCAUUGCAUUUAUGAUGGCAGAGACCCUCCACUGUUACACACACUAGUACUUGGGAAGAAUAGAUAGAAAUUAUUUGGUGGCUUUAAGAAGGGAAAGGGAGAGGAAAAGGAACAGGAAGAAAAAAUUGAAAGGAACCUGUUCUGCCAAUUACUGAGGCAACAGCAAGGCAUCUCAUGCUAUGUGUGCAACAAUAUUUAUUUGCUUCUCACAGACCUGUGGCAUGGCAGAGCUCUAAGGUGCACUUGAGGUUCCAUAUUCAGCGGAGAGAAGGGCUUGGUAACUUAGCCUAUGCUGCACAGCCAUGCUCCAGCCCUGCCUGUGCUCCAAACUAAUGGUUAUACAAGCAAAUCAGCACAGCGAGCACAACCUAAUAUCCUCUUCACACCAGCAGUACUGAUUUGCUUUAAUUUAGCACUGUGUUAACUACCCACACUGGAGCUCACUUCUAAUUGACUAUCCUGGAAGCCAGAGCAGAGCCUGUUUCUGUCGGCCCAACAACAGCAGCCUUGGAAAGGCUUUCAGAGCAAGCAUGCUAAGUAGUACGACAUUUUAGGCAGCCAAGAAAAUACUAGGGAUUACACAAGUACCUUUAGCCACACUCCUCUCUGGAAAUUAGGAGUCUUACUCAGUCAAGUCAGUGAAAGGCUUUUCCCAGCUUCCAGUCUGGCACCUGGACCACAGCCCUGGUGUGUUCUGAAGACAUGGCUCUUUCUAGAACAUAAGUCCUGAGAGAAAACCAUAAUUUCCUAUUUCCCAAGGAGACUGACACCCACAGCCCUCCCACUGAAACCAGGGACUCAGGCUGGUGGACUACUCUGAAGAAGAUGGUAUCCACCUUUCUUUUUAACACCAUCAACUCUGAAUGAGAGAAUGAACCUCUUUCUUAGCAUGCUUAGGCAGAACAGGGUAAGCUCUAAACCCCAGGCUUCACUCUAAGAGCUCCUUAGGGUUCUUCACUCAAAUAUAAAGAUGUCACAAAGCCUAUGAGCUGCUUUGAAACUUGUUUAAAGAAGUUUCUUAAACUCUUCCCUAGGCUACUGCUACAGACAGCACAAUGGGCCUGGAAGGUUUGCUACAGCUGCUUUGUUCUUAGCAGGGGCUGAAGUCCCAGCAAACUUGCAAACCAAAUGCUUAUUGAUAUGAAGACCUAACUGUUCAAGGGAGCAGGCAGGAGCUCAGAGAAAUUUAAGACCGGUUAGGAGUUUAUGCUCUUUUAGCAUGAAGAAUCAGGUAUGAAGCUGGUCUUUCUGAUUUUGAAUUUGUGUAGUGUUUAUUGUGCCCAUAUGGUGUUCAACGUACCUAAAACCUCCUCUUUCUCUCUCAGAAAACAGCCAAAAUCAAGUUAACCUAAAUCUCCUUUGCCACAGACUUUAGCUUAAGCUGAUUUCAGUGCAAGGCUGACAAGAAGAGAUUUUACCUAAACCUAGUACAAGAUAAAAACGUUAUAACAGGACACAGAAAAGGAGUGGCAGUGAAAAUCAAUGGUUGAAUUUAUAUAGAAAAUCAUUUUGUAAGUGUAAGAAAACAAUUCAGUAUUUUCUAAUUUUCUUCAGUCUAGGGCUAUAAUAUCAUUUUUCAUAUCCUGGGGUGAAUAUAACAGUUAAGCUAAUGUUAAAGAGUAAGUUAACAUUCUUAACUGAUUCUUAAACAAAUCUUGUGCUGGUACAGACAAACCUCAAAACAAGAACUACUAUCAUAAAAUUUAAGUACGGCUCCCCAAGAUAAAACUUUCUUUAACAGGGAUGUCUUAUUUUAGAAAAUCUAAUGUGACUAGGAGAAUGGGUUAAGGCCAGAGACAUCUUCCUAGUCUCGCUAUUGUCCCUAAAGAUGAUUUAUGAUAAUAUGGUGCAAAUAUGCAAACAAACACAUACUCAAGCACCAUUCAAUUCAUGUUGUACUACAUGUGCAAAGGCUGUGUAGUAAGCAAAUCCUAAAAGGUAAACACGGCCCUAGGGACGUGAACUGUAGAAUUCACAAGACCCCUUCACCAGCAUCAGUAAGCACAGAAGAAUUAACAAGAGCAUAUUACUUACUCAACAGUACCCAAAAUUAUCAAGGGAAGUUAAUAUAUUGUCUUGGUUUAAUACAUUUGAGGGGGACACUUAAAAAUUAGUUACCACCCCUUAGUUUUAACCACUCUUUCCACCAUUAAGGAGAUACAAAUAUGAGUUAAUACAACUGAAAAAAUAACAGUUUAUUAACAAGCAAAAGCGGGUGGCUGUAGCGACUGCAUGGAGUGGGGCUGCUCCGCUUGUCCCAGCACGGCGCUGCAGCUGCAGACAGAUGUUGCAAAAUUCCCACUUGAAAAAGUUUUUGUUUGAGAAACGCAGCUUCUAGAGUUGGCACUGUUGCGAGAGGAAAAAAGCAAGAGGCAGAGGGAGCAGUGGGAGGGAGCCUCUGCCUCAAUGCCUUGACUUCUAAAGAGACCCCAGCCCCUGCCCUGCCCUUCCUUUUUGUGGCUGCAGGGUCUGAAAGGGACAGAAGUAAAUUUGGGCACAGAGAGAUGUGCAAUACAAUAACAUUUUAGGUUACCCAGGGCAUAGGUUUAAAUACUUUGCUUUUUCUGUCACAUAUUCCCAAAUAUUGACCCUGAAUCUGCAUUGACUGGACGUGUCCAGCUAUCAGAUCACAGGUUGCAGUUGGAAAGGACAUCUGCAGUGGAGGUCAUGUAGUCCUACCCCCUGGUCAGGCAGAUCCUCCUACAGCCUGUUGCCCAGGACCGUGUUCCAGCUGAUUUUGAUGAAUGGAGUCUUCAGAGCUUCCCUGUGCAACCAGUGCCAUUGCUCGGUCACCCUUACUUGUGAAAAAGUGUCUUCUGAUAUUUAGAGGGAGCCACCUGUGCUUUUAGUUUGUGCCCACCACCCAUUGCUCUCUCUCUGUGACCUCCCUUCCGAUAUUUGUAUACACUUUUAAGAUUCCACCCCCAAGCCUUCUUUUCUGCAGGUUGAAGUCACAAUUCCCUGUAUUUUCUCACAGGAAAAGUCCCCUAAACAUCUCUGCAGCCUUUCGCUGGACUUGCUGCAGUAUGGCCAUGUCUCUCUUGUACUUGGGAGUCCGCAGCAGAAGCCAGCAGACACCACCAGUGCUGAGGAGAGCGGCAGAACCCCAUCCCUCCACCUGCCAGCAGCACUGCUGCUCAAGCAGCUCAGGACACCGUUCACCUUCUUUUUUAGAAAAGCAAAAAACUGCCCGUGUCUGUUCCACUUGGUGUCUGCUAGGACAUCCGGCCUCUUACUGCAAAGCUGCUUCCUAGACACUUUGUGUGGAAAGAAUUUCUUCUGAUGAAGAACCUAACCUCCUAAGGAAAACUCUCACAAGCUAACUGUGUACCACCACCAGCAGUAGCAAUUGCCACAUUACUGUAAAUUUAGUUGCCAGUACUCUUACAGCAAUCCAGCAGGCCUCCCAUGUGCUACAGCUGAGAAAGCUUCAAAGCCAGUCCAUGCUAAUGCUUCAGGAUUCCCACUGCUGGAGAAUUUGCAGUAGUAGUAACACAGUGGUGAGAGAUUGAUUGCAAAUAUCCUCGCUUCCUCGGGAGAAUCGUCCAGGGAGAAAAAUACAGGCAUCUUCAAUUUCCACUCGCACUUUAGGACAGUCUAAUGUAAAGUCCAACUCUCACCAACUCUCCUUUACCCCCUUCUCCCCCCUUGCACCCUCUCCCUGAACCUUUUAUUUCUGAUGGAAAACAGCAAUAAAGGGGAAGGAAAUUAGAUAAAUAAAUACCAUAUUGGAAAACUCUUUUUUAAAAAAAUAUGAAUAAUUUUCAGGAUGUACAAGACAAGCAUUCUCUAAGUUGUUUCCCUACCUCUCACCCUCCCUAAAACCUUUUUGUCAAGAAGUGUUGUGCAGAAAAUCUUGGAUGAUUACGUUAAAGGAGAAUAACCUGCUAUCGUGGUUUUGGAGAAAAUUAAAAAUUUCAGGAACUCUGCACACACAGAUGCCAGGGACACAGUAACACGAGGGGUGUUGGUGCUGUGGUAGAAGGGCGCUGCAGCUUUACUGCAGCAGGAAGGUGACGCCUCAUCUCUUGGCAGCAUCUCAAGUUUUGGCUGUGGGUUAAUGUGGCACGGUCGCUAUUUUUUUUCUGGGUUAAUGUGACAUCUCAGUUUUGGCAAUGGGUUGUUGGACAGUUAACGUGACACCGUCUCAGCUUAAAGGCCCUUCGGUGAUGGAUCAACUCGGCUGGAUUUAUUUAACCCAUUCAGGCGCCUCUGCAGAGAAAUGCCACCUUUCUCGAAAACAAACCCACAGCACGCAGCAAAGGAAGCCAUAAGCCCAGAGAAGUCCUGGAGACUUUGGAAGUGGGUGAAGCGGGGCGCGGGA